rnacentral:rRNA from 1 species
UACGUAGGGUGCAAGCGUUGUCCGGAAUUAUUGGGUGUAAAGGGUGUGUAGGCGGGGUUAUAAGUCAGAGGUGAAAGCCCGCAGCUCAACUGCGGAACUGCCUUUGAUACUGUAAUCCUUGAGUCUUGGAGAGGUCACUGGAAUUCGUGGUGUAGCAGUGAAAUGCGUAGAUAUCACGAGGAAUACCAGAUGCGUAGGCGAGUGACUAGACAAGUACUGACGCUGAAACACGAAAGCGUGGGGAGCGAACAGG